GGGGCUCUAGCUCAUAUGGUAGAGCGUUCGCUUCGCAUGCGAGAGGUACAGGGUUCGAUUCCCUGGUGCUCCA
rnacentral:tRNA from 1 species